rnacentral:rRNA from 1 species
UACGAAGGGUGCUAGCGUUGUUCGGAAUCACUGGGCGUAAAGCGCGCGUAUGCGGCUUCUCAAGUCAGGGGUGAAAUCCUGAGGCUCAACCUCAGAAUUGCCUUUGAAACUGUGAAGCUAGAGUGUCGGAGGGGAUAGCGGAAUUCCUAAUGUAGAGGUGAAAUUCGUAGAUAUUAGGAGGAACACCGGUGGCGAAGGCGGCUAUCUGGACGACAACUGACGCUGAGGCGCGAAAGCGUGGGUAUCAAACAGG